UACGUAGGUGGCGAGCGUUAUCCGGAUUUAUUGGGCGUAAAGCGUGCGUAGGCGGUUUGUUAAGUCCAGAAUUAAAGCCCGAGGCUUAACCUCGGUUCGUUCUGGAAACUGGCAGACUAGAGUAUGGUAGAGGCAAAUGGAAUUCCUAGUGUAGCGGUGAAAUGCGUAGAUAUUAGGAGGAACACCAGUGGCGAAGGCGAUUUGCUGGGCCAUCACUGACGCUGAGGUACGAAAGCGUGGGGAGCAAAUAGG
rnacentral:rRNA from 1 species